rnacentral:lncRNA from 1 species
AGGCGGCGGCGGGGGACGGGAGAGGGUAGGAGGCGCUCGAGGAGCUUGAGCUUGGGGAGGAGAUUGGAGGGGACGUUGGUGGCGAGGACAGUAGGACGGCGGCGGAUGAAGGCGUGGAACUGGCGGGGGGAGAGGCCGGCGUGGCGACGGAGGAAGGCGAGGACGGCGUCAGGCUUGUCGGGGGUGGUGAUGUGGAGGAGGGAUUUGGAGGCGACGAGGGCCUUAUCCUUGGAGUAGCCCAGACGAUCCAUCAGGUACUCCACCAUGAAGGGUAGAGGAGAAGAGGAGGAGGUAGUCAUUUCGAUGGCGGCCGGUGAGGAAGAAUAGGAGGAAAGUAUGGAAGGAGGAGGAAAGGGAGGGAGGAGAGGUGGCCACCACCUUCGUUUUAUGGAUUGGAGGGUUAGGGUUUCGAGGGAUUGGAGGGAACCGGAGGGAAGGAGGCAGAGAAGAGGGAGGAUUCGGUGCGCGGAGGAGAGGGUGGCGAGGCGGGAGGGAGAUGGCCGGCGCGCAGGGAGGUGGGCUCGAUCAGCG